rnacentral:rRNA from 1 species
UGGGGAAUAUUGGGCAAUGGGCGAAAGCCUGACCCAGCAACGCCGCGUGAGGGAAGAAGGUUUUCGGAUUGUAAACCUCUAUCGUGGAGGACGAAGGAAGUGACGGUACUCCACAAGGAAGCCCCGGCUAACUACGUGCCAGCAGCCGCGGUAAUACGUAGGGGGCAAGCGUUGUCCGGAAUGACUGGGCGUAAAGGGCGUGUAGGCGGCCGAUUAAGUCUGGAGUGAAAGUCCUGCUUUCAAGGUGGGAAUUGCUUUGGAUACUGAUGGGCUGGAGUGCAGGAGAGGAAAGCGGAAUUACCGGUGUAGCGGUGAAAUGCGUAGAGAUCGGUAGGAACACCAGUGGCGAAGGCGGCUUUCUGGACUGAAACUGACGCUGAGGCGCGAAAGCGUGGGGA